rnacentral:rRNA from 1 species
AGUCCGCGUCCCAUUAGCUAGUUGGUGAUGUAACGGACCACCAAGGCGAUGAUGGGUAGCCGGCCUGAGAGGGUGAACGGCCACAUUGGGACUGAGACACGGCCCAGACUCCUACGGGGGGCAGCAGUGAGGGAUUUUCGGCAAUGGGCGAAAGCCUGACCGAGCGACGCCGCGUGAGCGAAGAAGGCCUUCGGGUCGUAAAGCUCUGUCUAGGGGGAAGAGGAAGGACGGUACCCCUGGAGGAAGCCACGGCUAACUACGUGCCAGCAGCCGCGGUAAUACGUAGGUGGCGAGCGUUGUCCGGAAUUACUGGGCGUAAAGGGCGCGCAGGCGGUCUGUUAAGUCCGGGGUGAAAUCCUUCGGCUCAACUGGAGGGGGACCUUGGAUACUGGCAGGCUGGAGUGCGGGAGAGGGAAGCGGAAUUCCACGUGUAACGGUGAAAUGUAUAGAUAUGUGGAGGAACACCGGUGGCGAAAGCGGCUUCCUGGAUCGUGACUUACACUGAGAGGCGAAAACUGUGCGGAGCGCACACGAUUAUAUACACUGCGUAAUCUACACCGUCAGACAAUGAGUGCUGCCUGUGGCAGGGGGUGCUCCCUC